UCCAUAGAGCUAGGACUCCACACUCAGGAAUCCAAGAAAGCCUUAUCCUGUAAACCUGGCAUCAACCUUGGGUGAAGUAAUAGCAAAGUGGAUCUGGAGAUCAGUAGUUAAAGAACAACACAAAGAAAUUGAUCAGUGUGGUCUACAGAAAAGAUGUCUGGAAAGAAGGGUCGUGAUAAGGAGGGUUGCUUUGCUCUUGAAUCAAUUGAUUUCAAGAAUGCUUUGGCGCAGUUCCAGAAUCUAGUUGAAAAAAUGAUCAUCCAGAAGACCCAGGCGAGUUCAGGCUUGUAUACUAAAGAUGAUGGUGAGAUAGAUUAUGAAAAGUUCUAUAAAACCACCCGAACGCUUUUUGGUUCAGCAGUCAAGGAUCAGGAUAUUCAGGCCUUUUUCAGGAAGAUUAUGAGCAACCCUGAUGAAAGGCCAGAAUGGACUG